rnacentral:piRNA from 2 species
UCCAAGGGCCUAAAAUCAGUGUCAGA